rnacentral:rRNA from 1 species
GACGAACGCUGGCGGCGUGCCUAAUACAUGCAAGUAGAACGCUGAAGGAGGAGCUUACUUCUCUGGAUGAGUUGCGAACGGGUGAGUAACGCGUAGGUAACCUGCCUGGUAGCGGGGGAUAACUAUUGGAAACGAUAGCUAAUACCGCAUAAGAGUAGAUGUUGCAUGACAUUUACUUAAAAGGUGCAAUUGCACCACUACCAGAUGGACCUGCGUUGUAUUAGCUAGUUGGUGGGGUAACGGCUUACCAAGGGGACGAUACAUAGCCGGCCUGGGAGGGUCAUCGGCCACACUGGGACUGAGACACGGCCCAGACUCCUACGGGAGGCAGCAGUAGGGAAUCUUCGGCAAUGGACGGAAGUCUGACCGGGCAACGCCGCGUGAGUGAAGAAGGUUUUCGGAUCGUAAAGCUCUGUUGUAAGAGAAGAACGAGUGUGAGAGUGGAAAGUUCACACUGUGACGGUAUCUUACCAGAAAGGGACGGCUAACUACGUGCCAGCCGCCGCCGUAA